UUACGGCGACAGCAUGUUGAAACACCGGUCUCCGUACGACCGCCGAAGUUAAGCAACUUCGAGCUUGGUUAGUAACUAGAUGAGUAACGACUUCCGAAUACCAGUUGCC